GGCAUAGAUAGAAGAAGCUGGAGUCGUAACCCCAAGUCGGGGACGCCUGACUUCGCUUCCACCAUGACCGAGCGGAAAAAGUCCAAACGCUGCCCCAAAACCCCGACUACCGCCGGGGUCAGCGGCAGUCGCCUCCGCGGUCGUCACUCCGUUCUCCCCUCCCGCCGUCGCUUCUCGCUACCGAGGCCGAUCCGGGUCCUACCCCGUACCUCCUCGGAGCCCCUGCUUCGGACCGUCCGAUCCUUCCUCGUUUCCAGCUUCGAUUGCGGAAUCAAGCACCGAUCGGCCUUAAACCUCCACUACUUCCAUGAUUCCUCCUCGCUUCCUCGAGAUUCGGUUUCGUUUGAUGAAGGGGCAAAGAUGGUGGUGAGCGUGGUGGUGGAGGGGAGCCCCGGGCCGAUCAGGGCGAUUGUGAAGAUGGGAGCCAGCGUGGAGGAGGCGAUCGCGUUGGUGGUGGAUAGGUACAGCAGGGAGGGAAGGAUUCCCUUGCUUGACCGGCGAUCUGCUGGUUCUUUCCAGCUCCACUACUCCCAUUUCAAUCUCCAGAGCAUAAACAAAAGUGACAAGAUUGGAGAAGUUGGUGGCAGGAGUUUUUAUCUUCACACAAACAGAAACUUCGACACCUUCCACUUUGAAAGCGCAAGCAGUGAUCUGACACCACAAAGUAUUCCAUCUGACUUUUUUCUUGCAUUUGUGACUAAAGGAUUACAGAAGAUUGGCAGGCGAACGAGAAAAAUAUGGAGGAUGGUGGCUUGCAUUGCAUGUAUAUUCGAUUGACAAAUAUCUGUUCGAGUUAAUAUCAUACACAUUGCUGAUUGCGUAUCUAGAUAUAUAGAUAGAUAAAAAUCUAUAUAGUUUACUAACAACCAUUUGCAUAUUUGAUAAUGGUUGUUCAGUAGGAUUACCCAACGUGUUUUGGCAAGAGAUUUUCUUCGUCAAACAUAUGUGAUCUGUAAUCUCCAAUUGAUAGUUAAGGUGGCCUUAUACAGUGCUGUUUGUAUCCAUUUGACAUUACAUUUGCUAACAGGUUUACAACUUAAUUAUCUUCUGCUGUGCGUACCUAUUUUCCUUCAUUUUAGUGCUCCAGCUGAAAAUUCUAUUUAAUCAUUCAAACUCUACAAAGUAGCCCCUCGAUAGUCUUGCUAUCCGGAUCUGCGAGAGAAAAUGAAGAAGCAAUUAGUGGUCAUAAUUAGAGGAUUAAAUCCGGAUCUAGAAGAGAAAAAGAAGAACCAAUUAGUGGCCAUAAUUAGAGGAUGAAAUCCGACCGGAUUUAAUGGCCCUGAAUUAAACUGCUAAAACCCCAUCUAUAUAAACUAAUCACCAGACUUCCAAAGCUCAGAAGAAUUAACUAGUGAGAUCAGAUUAUGGACGACCAAAGUCGAUCAUCUGCUCCGGUGGAAUCCCUCGUCAGCCGGCUCGACCAAUUUGAUCUUCGGGUACGUGUACAUACCUUCUUUUUUACAUCAUGAUUUAUGAAUGAUAAAUGGAAUGCUACUUGCAUAAUGUGAGAAUUGAUGCAGUUGAGGCAGAUAGAGGAGAAGCAGAGACUCCUUCCUGCGCCGGAAUGCUACUUCACCGCCGACGUGAAGCUCUUGGCGAAGAAGCGCCGCGGCGGCGGCGGCGGCGGCGGCCAACACUGCCGAUACACUUCCCUGUCCGCCAUGCACGACUUGGAAAUCAAGGACGCUCUUUUGGACCGUCUCCACAUGCUCGAGACGCGAAUCCGUCAGCUGAGUUCGGAGCUGGACAAGGACAUCGGCGGUGGCGGCACCUCCCCUGCGGAGACUGUAGUGCGCGCAGAGAAGAACAAGGAGAGCGGCGGCGCCCGGUCGUGGAGGUCGGUGGUUUCGUUCAAGAGCGGCGCCCGUGAGCUCCCGAGUCAGAAGCCCAUCAUCAUAAAGGUGAGCGCGCGGCCUCCUAAUUUGAUGCGCGAGGUGAUCGAUCGAGGUAAUUAAACUCGCAACGCAUUGUCGAUCGCUUGAUGCCGUGUGCCUGGUGUUGAAGGUGAAGGAGCUGGAAAAAGCGGUGGGCGCGGCGGAGAAGGCGGUGGGCGCCGCUUGCCAGACCGAGAGGAGACGGGCGGAGCGUGCGCGGCUCUAUCGGAGAUGGCUCACGGUUGGAUGCUGAAAGGUUCGACGGUCAGACUUGGCUUCGAUCGCAUGAACAAAUAAAUAUUUCCUUUUAUUUCCGUUUCAAACUAAAUAUUCUUUUGAGGCAGAAUAAAUUUUGAUUUUCCUCUUUUGUUU